UACGUAGGGGGCAAGCGUUGUCCGGAUUUAUUGGGCGUAAAGAGCGUGUAGGCGGCCAGGUAGGUCAGCUGUGAAAACUCGAGGCUCAACCUCGAGAUGUCGGCUGAAACCAUCUGGCUAGAGUCCGGAAGAGGAGAAUGGAAUUCCCGGUGUAGCGGUGAAAUGCGCAGAUAUCGGGAAGAACACCCGUGGCGAAGGCGGCAUCCUGGACCGGUAUUGACGCUGAGGCGCGAAAGCUAGGGUAGCAAACGGG
rnacentral:rRNA from 1 species